AUUGAACGCUGGCGGCAUGCCUUACACAUGCAAGUCGAACGGCAGCACGGGUUCUUGCACCUGGUGGCGAGUGGCGAACGGGUGAGUAAUACAUCGGAACAUGUCCUGUAGUGGGGGAUAGCCCGGCGAAAGCCGGAUUAAUACCGCAUACGAUCUACGGAUGAAAGCGGGGGACCUUCGGGCCUCGCGCUAUAGGGUUGGCCGAUGGCUGAUUAGCUAGUUGGUGGGGUAAAGGCCUACCAAGGCGACGAUCAGUAGCUGGUCUGAGAGGACGACCAGCGACACUGGGACUGAGACACGGCCCAGACUCCUACGGGAGGCAGCAGUGGGGAAUUUUGGACAAUGGGCGAAAGCCUGAUCCAGCAAUGCCGCGUGUGUGAAGAAGGCCUUCGGGUUGUAAAGCACUUUUGUCCGGAAAGAAAGCCUUGGCCCUAAUACGGUCGGGGGAUGACGGUACCGGAAGAAUAAGCACCGGCUAACUACGUG
rnacentral:rRNA from 1 species